UCUCACUACGGCGAGUGAAGCGGCAAAAGCUCAAAUUUGAAAUCUAGCACUUUCAGUGUUCGAGUUGUAAUUUGAAGAAGGUAACUUUGGAAUUGGCUCUUGUCUAUGUUCCUUGGAACAGGACGUCACAGAGGGUGAGAAUCCCGUGCGAUGAGAUGUCCAAUUCUAUGUAAAGUGCUUUCGAAGAGUCGAGUUGUUUGGGAAUGCAGCUCUAAGUGGGUGGUAAAUUCCAUCUAAAGCUAAAUAUUGGCGAGAGACCGAUAGCGAACAAGUACAGUGAUGGAAAGAUGAAAAGAACUUUGAAAAGAGAGUGAAAAAGUACGUGAAAUUGUUGAAAGGGAAGGGCUUGAGAUCAGACUUGGUAUUUUGUGUUCCUUAUUCUUUUUGGAUUUGGUUCCUCACAGCUUACCGGGCCAGCAUCGGUUUGGAUGGUAGGAUAAUGACAUUGGAAUGUAGCUUUGCUUCGGUGAAGUGUUAUAGACUUUGUUGAUACUGCCUAUCUAGACCGAGGACUGCGUCUUUGACUAGGAUGCUGGCGUAAUGAUCUUAAGCCGCCCGUCUUGAACACCGGAACAAAACAAAUUUUGUUUUUUUGUUAAUUAGG
rnacentral:rRNA from 1 species